rnacentral:rRNA from 1 species
UCCAGACUCCUACGGGAGGCAGCAGUGGGGAAUAUUGGGCAAUGGGCGCAAGCCUGACCCAGCAACGCCGCGUGAAGGAAGAAGGCUUUCGGGUUGUAAACUUCUUUUAAGAGGGAAGAGCAGAAGACGGUACCUCUUGAAUAAGCCACGGCUAACUACGUGCCAGCAGCCGCGGUAAUACGUAGGGGGCAAGCGUUAUCCGGAUUUACUGGGUGUAAAGGGAGCGCAGACGGCAGUGCAAGUCUGGAGUGAAAGCCCGGGGCCCAACCCCGGGACUGCUCUGGAAACUGUACGGCUAGAGUACGGGAGGGGCAGGCGGAAUUCCUAGUGUAGCGGUGAAAUGCGUAGAUAUUAGGAGGAACACCGGCGGCGAAGGCGGCCUGCUGGACCGAAACUGACGUUGAGGCUCGAAAGCGUGGGGAGCAAACAGGAUUAGAUACCCCAGUAGC